rnacentral:tRNA from 1 species
GGCAAGAUGGCCGAGCGGUUAAGGCGGUAGACUCAAGGGUAAUAUAUCCUUACCUGUAAAACGGGCAAAUAUUCUACUGGGGAAACCCGCGCGAGUUCGAAUCUCGCUCUUGUCA